rnacentral:rRNA from 1 species
UACGUAGGGUGCAAGCGUUGUCCGGAAUUAUUGGGCGUAAAGAGCUCGUAGGCGGUUUGUCGCGUCUGCUGUGAAAACUCGGGGCUUAACUCCGGGCCUGCAGUGGGUACGGGCAGACUAGAGUGCGGUAGGGGAGACUGGAAUUCCUGGUGUAGCGGUGAAAUGCGCAGAUAUCAGGAGGAACACCGGUGGCGAAGGCGCCACUCUGGGCCGAAACUGACGCUGAGGAGCGAAAGCGUGGGUAGCAAACAGG